rnacentral:lncRNA from 1 species
CUUCCUGGUUACUUCAGCCACCUGAGACCUCUUCACCAGGGCCCUGUGACCUGCCCAUUGAAAAUUCCUGGACAAACAUGAAUGGAUAUCAACUGAAAAUGGUGCUGGAACAGUGGGAAUCGUCAUGCACAGGAAGCAUUGGGAGAUGUAGUUUACUCUAAGCUUCCAGAAGUUUGGAACAAAAUCGAACAAACUAGAUACAUUUGGAACUUUGGAAAGUGUGAACUCUAUUGUCCAGUGCUAUUGUCUACCAACAGGAAGUAACUGAAAUGACUGUUGCUCUUGCAGAAGUUCCAGAACUUUUCAAAAAAUCUUGUUAGGAAGUUGAUGGGUUAAUCAAAAUGGCUCUGAGCAGCCCUUCAGAACUGGAUGAACUGAUGCCGGAGGACUCAUAGGAGAGGUUUACUUCACUCAUUGGUUGAAUAAUUUGGAAGACAUAUCAUGAAAUGAUUAGACGAGACCAGGUUGGGACUUCUGGGUUAACAUGGCUGCAAUCUAGAAGCGAAUCGCUUCCUCUCCCCAGCACCUAACAAAAUAGACUACCUCAAAAGAGCAUAAAAAUCACCUUUGGAAGAAGAGAGGGACUCUCCAGUACCCCACAGAAAUGAAGGAACUGAACAAAAAUCUCCAAAUCACAGAAGUUUAUGUGACUCUAAGCCAUUCUUUAACGAUAUAAAGGAGAUACUAAAGCCAGAAACAAAGGCAAGGAAAGAUGUUAUGCCACUUUGAAGAACUGAAAACUUAAGGAUCCCCAGAGCUAACUCUAAAG